rnacentral:rRNA from 1 species
GCGAACGCUGGCGGCAGGCCUAAUACAUGUAAGUCGAGCGGCCCUUCGGGGCAGCGGCGGACGGGUGAGCAACGCGUGGGAACGUGCCCUCUGGUACGGAACAACUGAGGGAAACUUCAGCUAAUACCGUAUGUGCCCUUCGGGGGAAAGAUUUAUCGCCAUUGGAGCGGCCCGCGUUAGAUUAGCUAGUUGGUAGGGUAAUGGCCUACCAAGGCGACGAUCUAUAGCUGGUCUGAGAGGAUGAUCAGCCACACUGGGACUGAGACACGGCCCAGACUCCUACGGGAGGCAGCAGUAGGGAAUCUUGCGCAAUGGGCGAAAGCCUGACGCAGCCAUGCCGCGUGAAUGAUGAAGGUCUUAGGAUUGUAAAAUUCUUUCACCGGGGACGAUAAUGACGGUACCCGGAGAAGAAGCCCCGGCUAACUUCGUGCCAGCCGCCGCAGUAAUAC